rnacentral:rRNA from 1 species
GACGAACGCUGGCGGCGUGCUUAACACAUGCAAGUCGAACGGAAAGGCCCUGCUUUUGUGGGGUGCUCGAGUGGCGAACGGGUGAGUAACACGUGAGUAACCUGCCCUUGACUUUGGGAUAACUUCAGGAAACUGGGGCUAAUACCGGAUAGGAGCUCCUGCUGCAUGGUGGGGGUUGGAAAGUUUCGGCGGUUGGGGAUGGACUCGCGGCUUAUCCGCUUGUUGGUGGGGUAGUGGCUUACCAAGGCUUUGACGGGUAGCCGGCCUGAGAGGGUGACCGGCCACAUUGGGACUGAGGUACGGACCAGACUCCUACGGGAGGCAGCAGUGGGGAAUAUUGCACAAUGGGCGGAAGCCUGAUGCAGAAGCGCCGCGUGCGGGAUGACGGCCUUCGGGUGGUGAACCGCUUUCGCCUGUGACGAAGCGUGAAUGACGGUAAUGGGUAAAGAAGCACCGGCUAACUACGUG